UACGUAGGGGGCUAGCGUUGUCCGGAAUCAUUGGGCGUAAAGAGCGCGUAGGCGGCCAGAUAAGUCCGGUGUGAAAGUCAAAGGCUCAACCUUUGAAUGCCGCUGGAAACUGUCUGGCUAGAGUCCGGGAGGGGCGAGUGGAAUUCCUGGUGUAGCGGUGAAAUGCGCAGAUAUCAGGAGGAACACCAAUAGCGAAGGCAGCUCGCUGGGACGGUACUGACGCUAAGGCGCGAAAGCGUGGGGAGCGAACAGG
rnacentral:rRNA from 1 species